CUCACAGAAGCAUGACUAACCCCAAAUGCUGGAUCCCUUCAAGGUCUCAGUCCAUCAUCUAUGACACGGGAGGGGAGGAAGUGGCGUCAGGAUUGUUGACAUCCGUGAACAUCCGUAUCUCACUUCCAGCAUGUGUGCCAGUUCCAAGUCUGCAUCGGAUCUGGCUGGCUGGUUUUACAUCAUCUUGACCCAAGAGUCAUUUGGGAAAAGGAAGCCUCAACUGAAAAAAAUAACCCCAGCAAAUGGGUCUGUGGUUCUAGGAUGACGAUGAUUGAUUGAUUGAUUGAUUG
rnacentral:sRNA from 1 species